GCUUAUUCUUUGAGACUUUCAUCUUGGCCUGAAGCAGAACUCCUUUGUGAUUUUGCAGGGCCCCAGAGGCUGCUUGAAUGCUUAUCCACUCAGAAAUAAAACAAACAUUCUCCCAUCUACAUUAAUUGAAUGUGUAGCUCUCAUUCCUAGCUUUCGGCUGCCUGUGCUUUAAUGUUUUUCUAGCACUCUUGACUUUAUCACAGCAUUUGCCCCGCUGAGUUGUUGGUGAGCUCCAAGGGGAGCAAAAUCUGCUAAUCCUGUAGAUGUAAGUUGAAUGGGAACACAUCUGGGUGAGAAGCAAGGAUUUGCUCUUCUGCAAUGCAGAAGUGCUCAGCACAGGGUCCAUUGUCUGGCCUUGCAAAGAAGGGCACAGAAGGUUAUUUGGCCAGCUUUUUGACACCGUGGUUUAUCCCAUAUUGCUACAUCCAGCCCUUUCUAUUCCAGCAGAUCCUCUCUGGCUGAUUAUUCUGCAGCUCACCACCUCAGCAAAAUGCAGCCUGUUCUUAUCUCACUUGCCUUAUCUGCCAGUCCUGUGUAGGUUUUAUUUCAAUCCUCUCUUCCUGCUUUUCCCCUCAACCCUUUCACUCCUCCUCCUUCCUUCUGUGGAAACAAAUCUACAGUAGGUGUCUCUUGAACUUGCCUGAACUCCUUGUCCCAAGCACCUUCCUGACUAAUCCUUUCCAGAUGUCCAGGAACUUUUAUGAUUAGCUGUUCUGCUCAAGUUCCUCAUUCAUUCUCAGUCAGAGCAAAAACUGCAUUUCCUAAUGUUGUUUUGAAUAAUAAGGCUGAUCAUGGUCUUCUGAAAAGCCAUUGCCACCUCAAAACACAAUGUUUUAGCUCUACUACAGCCUUCAGCACCCAAAUUGGAGAUGAGCUUGAGCACAAUAGACAUAAAUAGCAUAUAACUUUUCUCUUUCAUAGCUUACUGUGCUCAGUAGCUUUCAGUGAAGUUUUGAAAGCUCUCAGUAUUGCAGUUGCACCCAGCCAAGUGACAGGGGCGUUGGGUUGUAAUUUCCUGGAUACAGAAGCAAGGAGAAAUUAGGUCGGUUCAUCUUUCGGAUGUUAGACAGACAACAGUGAGCCAGUAAGGGAAAGCAAGUUUCCCUGCCUAACCGCUCAUCUCCUUUCCAGAAUAACUUUGGUUUUGGUGAGGUGACUUUUGCUUCAGACAGGUGGGUAAGAUCAGUGGCUUUUGUUCACAAGCUCUGGAUGGCCUGUGCCUCCUGUGUUUGUUGCCGCAUAUGUCAAGCUGGAUACGACGUUGUGAUUUGUACAUAAAGGCUGCAUUUGGCAUGGAUCUUUCAGGGAAAAGGGCUGUCUUUCACCUCAAGGUCCAUAUGGAUGAUGAGAUCUGUAAGGCUGGAAGUAAAGACUGAGUUGGUUUAUAAUCCUGGAGACUGUCUCUUCAGCCCAGCCUCUAGCUUGUCUGGAAGUCAUGCCCUGCCGUUCCACAUGUGCAUCCAAUGAUUUUUCAUCUCUUUUCCAUUGUAAUGUGUGUGUAGCAAGGUUUGCAUUGUUUUUUUUUUUUGGAUAUUGGAAAGCUUUCAGCUGUUCAGUGGGGCUCGCAAAAUUCCUGUGUUUUUCCUUCCAUUUGCUUUUGCUUCGGGAUUCACCUUGGCAUGUUAUGUAUUUAUUUGAAAAUGCUGGUGGUAAGAAAGAGGGAGUUUCUGUAAAUUCACAUCCUUAUAAUGAAACAAUUUUGUGUCAUCAGCAAUCUAGGGUUCUGAAAUGGGUAAAUGCUUUUAGGAUGAAUCUGCUUUGGAGUUCUGCGCCUCCUGUCAGCCCCACAUCUCUCCAUUGCCUUUUCACACAAGCAGGAUUUACACAAACAUUGAAUAGAUACCUUUAAAUUCACAGCAAAGAAAUCUUUGUAAGAUGUCGUAUUCUUCCUCCCCCAUGCAGUGCCACAGCCUUCCUCCUGAGUGUGAGCUGAUACAGGAUGGCUCCCUGUUCCUUUUUUAUGCAGUCCAGACAGUCUCUAGGCCACCUGGGGAAGGGAUAAUGGAGAAAAUCAAGUCGAUAAGUCUCCUAACCAUUGCGCUAUGUGAGGAAUGAAUCCAAGAGCCUUUGCAGACUAUUAAUCUUUCCCAAUCAUAAGAAAGCAAAUGAUCUCCUCCCGCUCCCAUAAAUACUGCUCCUUCUCCUGCCCCCCCCCCCAGUGUUUGAACUGUUCGCCAAGAGCUUUAUUAAAAACUACAAGAUGCAGUUUUGUUCCUAACCAAAUCUCAAACAACUGUGUUAGGUGGAGAAGAAACAUUUGGUGCAGUCAGCUUUAGAGCAUAUUUGUAUGUAGUCCAUGGCCACUUGUCAGCCAGAGACCAGCUUCAACUUUGCGCUAAGCAUAAUAGGACCUUUCCUCUUUUCUCCGAGAUUAGGAGAUGAAUUCAAGCUGGUCAAACAUUAUGGCCCCGUUUUAAAGACUGCCCUGGCAAUAACCGCUGGGAGUAAUUCAUGUGACAUACCUGGCACGGUGUAAAGGAUGCUACCUUUGAGACCUCGGGGUGGUCUGAUAACAACCUCAUUCUCUCCUGACUCUAGCGUGUGACCUGCUGUGUCACUAUGCUUCAAGAAUAAUCCUGUUCUCUGGAAAGUGACGUCAGCUCCAAGAACAAACGGUUGCACAGCAGCUAGGGCCUAGUGAUUUUCCUGUGCAAUUCCUCUUUCUUGGCCUUGAAAGCUGAGAUUUCUGAAGAUGCCCUGGACCCUGCCACCUGUCCUCUUGACAUCACACCAGGACAGCUGGCCAGUAUAACCUUCGUGGCAGGGUGUGAAACGACAGGUGACAAGCACUGCGUCGUCUCCAGCUUCCGAUGUGCACAGCGAAACGGCAGCCGGUGCUGGAACGCGCUGACCGAAAGCAGCUGUGGGUUUGCUUUACGCAGGCUGUGGCGAGGACAGCGCUGGCGGCUCCACAGCAGCGGUGCUAACGAGGCACGGAGGGACUGUGCACAGCAAGGUGGGCUGCCUGCUGCACAAGGCACUUCCCCGCCAGCUGCUGUGCGUCACUUCCAUUCCUUGGCACCACAUGAAAUUUGUCACAGCAUUAUCCAUUUCAUUUCUUUCUCUUCCCUCAGUCUGAAAUCCAUCAACCAGUGCUAAGGAAAAAAGCAUUUGAAAAAGAAGCCAAAGCAGAAGUAAGCAAAGCUGUUCUGUUGGCUGAAUUCCUCCAGUUUGUUGUGCACUGCUACUUAGUUUUACUGAAAAGAAACUGAUUCUGCUUUAUGCACCUGAGGCUGUGGAAGAAAGGAAAGCAAUGAUCAGUUUUAUUUCUUAUUUUCACUGGCAGAGAACACUGCACCCUAUUCUGGAAAUGAAAGAGUGAUUUCAUUUUGGUAGAACAGGAAUCCUGAUUCUGGAAUAAAUCCUACAAUUUUUAUUGCUUUGGAUGUCUGAGAAAUCAAAUACCGUCAUUCAUUUCUGAAAUAACUAAGAAAUUUAAACAAUGCUGAUGGUGAAAGAAGAACAGAAAAUCAGGGGCUGACCUAUCCAGUAUUGUAAGGGAUUCACUGAUUUACACAGUCUAAAGCUAAAAAUGAUCAUUAGACCAGUUGGUCUGACUUUCCCUCCUGUCUGUUGCAGUAGUAGAUCUUCAUCGUUCAAAGACCAGGCCUAAUUCUGUGCAAGGGGUUGUAGUUGGCUUUUCUAUGAUGUGUUUCACACUCAAGAGACCUUGAAACUCAAGAGACCUUGAAACAAGAGACACUUUCCUGGGCAUUUCUCAAUGGAGACAGGACAUAAAUUAAAGAAAUUGCAACACACAUAUAAUUCCCCUCAUGUUAAAGUACAAGUCAGUGGUGCCAUUAGUGUGGAUUUCAUAUAUGGAAAGGGAUCAGCUAGGCUUAGCCUGAAUUCAUUGUUUUUGUUCCUAGCCAUACUUCAUUUGUGUCUGUUUCUAACAAAUGUGUGACACGGUGUGUGGAGGACAUACCUGGCUGUGUAUCUGACUGUAUGGUGGUGCACAGAGCAGUAAGAAUCUGAAAAAAGUCUAGAAAUACUUGGCCAGUGUCAAGAUUGAGAAAGGGGAGAAAAUACUGAAAGAGGUGUCCUGAGUUGUCCAGGUCAGUUCUUUAAGCAGGGCUUUCCUCUUUUAAGAAAUCUCUGUGUCAUUAUGCAAAGCAAAGGAUAAUUCACCUGGUAUGGCUCUGACUAGAAUAGCUCCCUUUCAUGGUAUGCUUUUGAUACUUCUUUACCAAAACCCUGGGAAAGAGGGUUAGAGAAGGUUGUGCAAGUGGAAAAGAGGCAGAUGACGCUGUAGAGUGGGCAAUACGUUCUUGUUGUUUGCCCAAGGAGUGCUUUUAAGCUUAAUAAAUAUAUCCGUGAGCCAGAUGUCAGAAACAGGGGGGAGAGAAGUAAGGAAUGGAAAAGUCCAGACAUUUGUGCACAAGGGAAAAAGAAUCUGAAGUAAUUCAGAAGCCCAGAGGAGCUUGUGGCUGAUGUGUCUGGAGCAGAGAGGCUGGGGGGGCAUCUAUGACAGAGACAAAAUAGUUCUGUAAACAAGGAACCUGAAAAUGAUCCAGUGCUGCCAUUUGUAUUAGUCAUGUCCGUUGUAGGCAUGCCAUUAGGUGGCCUGGGUCCCCUCGCCAGCGCUAAGGUUUGGUCAGACAGUUCUCACUUCCAGCACAGUGCGUAACGUGCUGCAGCUGGGAGAUCCUGGAUCUCCCUGCCCCAAAGGUGCGGAAUAGGAGGCAAUGUUGCUUGGAGCAAUAAGGAGUCAAUGAUUUGGAAAAAACUCGGACGCGCUAGGGGAAUAAUCCAGACCAGCUUUUGCUGGACACGACUCCCCCAACUCUAAAAGGCUUUUUGGUCGAGUUUAAUAAGAUUAGUCUGUAAUGCUUUGGAGACGUCAGCUUGCUGGAAGGUUUGUGUUCAGUAGUUUCUCAAGCGCCAGGGAAUGCUGUUGCUCAUUUCAUCGGCUUGCCUUGAUUUCACUGAAUCAGACUGUUGCCUUGCUUCUCAGUUAGCUGCAUCUGCACAACAGUAACAAACUGAAGAUUAGAAAGCAUGGAGAGGGGUGCAAGAAAGUUCACCCUCUUGGAAGGAAGCUCCCUGUGUCCCCCCGCCCUGGAGCAGGCUGGAGGAUCCGUGCCUUGGGAACACUUGGGCUCUGCACCCAACCUGACUUCUGUCCCAGCCAGCAAUCCUGCUGGGAUCCAAGCCCCUCCUUAUCGCUGCAGCAUGGAGCAAUGACAGUACAUUGUACAGCUUGUUCUGUUGCUGGGGAGCGUGCGUUCUCUGAAGCUCCAGUUUAGGUCUGUGCUGACAUUAUUGAAGCUACUGGUAAUAAAACAUGUCACUACAAGGGCCAGGGCCACAUCUGAUCCUGUAAAGGGAAAGGCAGAAAACUACUCAAACCAAACACAUAUUGACGAGGGCUGGAUUUCCAGGGAUGUGAAGCGCUUAGUCCUGCUGCCGAGCCCCGCUGGCAGGGUGGAGAGGCAUCUCCCAGACCUGUAGCGUUUGCCCCAUAGAAGGGACAAAGGGAGCACAGAGCUGAGCUUCCUGGUGCCACAUCAUCAUGCAAGUGCUGAACACUCCCAGUGCAAUGAACUACGGAUAAUGUUGUUGAUGCCUCUGCCAUCCCGUCAGGGAUUAGUACAUGCUGGAGCAAUUUGCAUGGGGAUGAAACUUGGAAGAAAGGGCAAUGCUGAGAAAAUACGGUAUUAUUUAUUAUUGCCAGUUGCAAGGGAACAGCAGCAGCCUCCAAGCUUGUAUAACUCUGGAACAAGACUAUUAUUAGAAUGGAAAGUUAGCAAGCAAUUAGCUAAUUGCAAUUCACAUUGUCUGUUGGCAAUUAUAAGGAGAACAGCUAUAAACUCCAACAGAUGCAACUCAAAUGGGUCAGUCUUUUUUUCUCCCCCAUCCCCAAAGGGCAUUUGCUGCGAACAUCUACACUAUAGGUUCUGAUCAUGGAUUUGUGAAACGAGCCAGCCCUGUAAGUAAACACGUUAAAGCAGUCCCUGCAAACAACUUUCCCCUGCUGAGGAAAUGAUAAGCAGCCGUCUUCACGUGUCUGUGUUCCCAGACAACAUCAGAUCUGCCCAAUACUCAGAAGCUAUUGUUUGGUAGAAUUGUCUUUUCUGGGAGUCUCAUUUCCAGGAGAUCCCAGAAGCCUGUACAAGGCAGCGGGUUAGCUGCCAGAACUCAAGAAGCAGAGAGCUGUGAGCCAUUCGGUCUGCACUCACACUGGGGCGGAAGGUAGCUAAUUCAGUACAACAAAGUGACCCAAGUCAGAUACAGAUCUGUCUACUCAGUCUAACACGUUACUGAAUCUGAGGUCUUAUUAAAGCUGGCCUAAACACAAACCAGGCAUUUUCAAGGCUGGAAAGUGUAACUAACACGUGAUUUCAUUCAUUUACUCUGCUUUGGUGAUAUUUCUUUAUAUAGUCCUGGAAAAAGGGGGAGCAAAGCAAUUCGGCUAAAAUAUGUAUUUCUUCUCAUUUGUUUAUGACUUUAUACAACUUCAUGUAACACCUUCUCUUCUUCCUCCAGCAGUGACAUGAAUCGGUAGUGCCUCCCUUAAUCUACUUUCUAAAAUUUUUGAGGCUAUUUGAGGGAUCUUCAGUCCACAGUGAGACUGAGUCAGAAAAAGUAUUUCUGUAAAAAAUAGCAAGGAGAGUAAGUAGAACUCAGCUUCCCUGUUCAAGCCACAGGAGAUACCAGCAAGGUAGUUCUCACGGGACAGAGAUUAUCUCAUGGCUCAUCUCAGGAUGAAUGAUGGCAGUGAAACACGAAGCUUGGAUUCUAGGGAUAGUUAGAUGCAUGUUUUACAUUUCUUUAAGCCAAAAAAGGAUGCAAAAAUUCACUAAUCUCCAGUGCCACUUUAUUAUCCCCUCAAUGAGUUUUGUGUCUGACGAGCAAUAUUUUAAAGUGAUGCUAGAAAUGUCUGCUGAAUAGUUGAGAAAUUGUCUUAUUUACCUAUGAAGCAUUUUUCUAUUAAACUAUGUCAAGACAUAAGCUGCGUGUGUGCAGAACUGUAUGUUUAAGGCUUAGAGGUACAUGAGUGAUGUAUAGGCAAACAUGGACAUCCUGAGUAUUGCUGCUUGCAGUGUGGUAGUUGUUAAUUUUACAGAGCAUGCAUGAGUGUGGCAUGCACAGUUAGUUGUAUAAGUUGUAUGAAAACUGUUUAUGCAUCUCAGAUUCCUUUUUAGAGUAUGGACAAGAACAGACAGAUUUGGCCUUAAGAACAAAUAUCCCAGAAGGUAUUCUGAGGCAAACGUUUGGAUAAUGAAUUUAAAAUCUACAGUCAGACUUUACAGUGCAGCUUUCUGCGGCAAUGCAAGGAGCAUUGUUCCUUAUCUCUUCUGAACAUUAGUGAUGCCAUUGAUUCCGGCAAAAGAAGAACAUCCCUAUUUCAGGUCAAGCUGAUACUGAUAUAGAUACAGCUGUGGGGUCUGAAACAGAUUAAGCCCAACUAUAUGAAUUUCAUAAAUAGUAAUACAAAACCACUGCACACCUCUGAUAUUAAACAGAGGAUGAGUUGGUAUUCAUCUUAGAGUGAAUGCACUAUAAUGAAAUGGAAACAUGAGGUUUGACUUAUAAACCCCAGGUUUCCCGUAGGAGGCAGCUUAUUGAGUUUAUUUAUUAAAGACAAAUGCUAUCAUUUGAAACAUAUCUCAUGUAGAGCAGGGGACUGGCUGAUUCCGAGGAAUAGUAACUAGAGAUGGAGCUUUGCAUUUACAAGCCAUUGAUUUAAACAGGUUCCAGCAUGUAAAGGAGCUUUGUGAUGAUAGCUGCCAGGUGCCCAAAUAUCCACAGAGAGCCCCAGCCUGCCUGCCACCCACAAAGAAUGCAAACUCGCAAGGUGCUGAGUGCCAUGACCCAGGCCAAAAAUGCUUAACUUUAAUAUAUAUUUAACUGCAGGCAGAAAGAUAAUCCAGUUAUCUUGAGUCAGACCAGUCAUAUGCUUAAAAUAGGUUCAUUUUGGAUAGGGGCCAUAGCCGUAGCAGAGGCUCCAAGGACUGAUCAGGACUGAGGUGCUGAGCUCCACUCUCUGCACUGGGAAUCACUGGAAAGAACAGCUGGCUACUGCAGGACGCCUGCCAGUUUUGGAGAUGACGUUAUCUAAGGGAGAACAGGAUGAGAGGACACCAAAGGCUGCACUGAUUCCUGUCUUGGCCAUUCAGAUGGCCAGAACUGAUCUGUGCCUGGGUCCCGGGUGCCCAGAGGAGGGACACCAGGGAGAAACACCAGACAGGAACCUGUCUGAUAAGCCUAACUGCACUCACGUGCACACCUCUACAUAAAACUUCCCUCUUCCUUCCAGCACUGGUACCUCAGCCUGUUUAGGAUCCAUGAACAACUAUAUCCUCAGAUUUUGCUUCUUUGAUCUUUGCUUUUUUAUGAUUUGUUAAGCAUUCCCACUUUGUUCCUGCCCUGUGAGCAAAUUAAAAAAAAAUGAAGAAAUAGUUCAAAGUUUUAACGUGUUGUGAAGCAGUUUGACUUUAUUCCCUCCUGUCAUCAAAUGAAACAAAAAUGAGCUGACUAUCUACCAGCCAGGGCUUAGGAGGGGCUCUCUGCAGUAGGGAUGUGGCAGGACUGGCACUGCCAGCUUCUCUGCGACCAGUCAGUGCUGUCCUUCCUUGUGCUGUGCUGCUGCAAGGUUGCACCUGAAAGCACUGCUUGAUGCACUGCCUUUGCCAAAGCCCCCAGAGAUUUGGGGGUCUCUGAUUUUGAGGACUUAAUUCAAAAAGCCUUAAAAAGAGUCCACAUUUCUGAGGGCAAAUCUUUCACAUUUUAGCCUUUUCUCUUUGAGGCACACCAAUGUCAGCACCCACUAGUCACUAGCUUCUUCUAAAACUGCAUGAUUUUUCCUUUCAUUUCCUGAGUUAGUGAUUUUGAGCUGCAGGGCAAAUGUUAAAUGUUAACAACUGCUGUAAAAGUCACAUCUGUAGGUAAUUUUGCUAUUCACCUAGAAAGAAAUAGUGUUCAUUUAAUUAAUUUAAAAAGUAUAUGUUGCCUUUCUGAAGUCUUUCUGGAUAGACCCUGGCACAUCAACAAGACCGUGCUUUUUGUUUUUUAUGUUUAAAAUCAAAAAUCUAGGACGGUAAUGUCAUUCAUGGGAAGUAGCAGGUAAAAUUGCAUGCUUUCUAGAAGCAUAAUUUCAGUUGGUUGCGUGUAGCAAAACUUUCUGGCUCAAUGUAGUAUGACAUUUGCAACCAUUUAAUUUGAAUAAAUUCCCUUUUUAUACUCCAUUCAGCUUUUAAUAUAUCAGCCAAACCAUUUGUAAGGGACAGAAUGUAAAUCCUACCUAUGUUUUCCCUUCUGUGCUAUCAUGAGAGAUCUAUCACGCUAACACUGCUUGUUCCUUUUGCUUUCAGAAGGUCAGCAGUUCAGUUCUUGAAGACCUGGAAGAAAAUGCAGAUUCCUUAAGGGUGGAAAGCAGCUCUGGAGCAGGAGAGGUUCUGGGAUCUCUGUCACUACUCAUCACGCCGAGUGCUGCAUAGGUAAAUAUGUGCUAGGGAAAUGAGCUCUGCUGAAUAAGCAUGGCUUGGGGUCGGAAUGUAUGUAUUUACUCUUGCGCAAAAUGCCUACCAGCCCUGCCUUUAAGGAGACAUCAGAGUGUCCCUCCCGACCUGACUUCCAUUUCUCUGCCCAGAGCAGAGAUCUGGUUAGACUUUGUUGGGAUUCACAUGUAGUUUCAGGGAAUUUAUGUAUUACUAUCUCCAAGUUCACUCUCAGCUAAGAACUCUGCCUUCGUACUCCACAGACAGACUACAAACAGCUAAAAUACAAGGACCCUCAUUUUAAAGUCAGCUGUCUAAAAUUAGACAUCCAAUUAUGAUGAGCGUAGAAAAAUUACAAUUUUUUCAGAGAGAAAAGCAGGUGCCAAACACCUGUCUGGAAGUACAGUCAUGGAGUUGCUUCCAUGGCUCUGUUAGCCAGUGCUGGAGAGGACAGGAGAGCAGGUCCUUCAUCAGGGAGCAAAGGCAGAGGGGAAUGUACCAGUGAAGUCAGGAAUGCCACUGGAUGUACUCAUCAUGUCCCCCCACCCCCACUCUUUUUCAUUAUAUGUGAGAUGCCAAUCUUAUUUUUGUAAGCACCCUCUCUAAUUACUUGGAAUUUCUGUAACUCCAGUAAUUCAGGAAAGAAUACUUAAAUUGCAUGCAGAUGUGAAUUAUCUAGUGAACACUUAUCGGCAUCUGGAGAUCUUCUGUAAAGACACAGAAAGAGGCAAGCUUUCCCUGGGUUCAACAGCCAUCACUUGGCAUCAAUUAAUGAGAAUAUUGAAUUCUCUCCUGCAGAAUUGCCUGCAGUAACUGGAUGUUACAGGUGACUUGUUCCUGGGAAUGUAGCUGGGGAACAGCCCAGCUCAGCUUGCCUGUGUGCUUCCCUGAUGUUUGUCAUGCUGUAACUUUCCAGACUUGAUUUCAGCUCCAAAGGUGAAUUUCUGUGAAAGCCGGAGCUUAAAGUUCUUCCUGCUGGUGCAGAAGAGAAAGUGUCCCUGAGCUGCUUGGCCGCUGCUGCUGGAACAGGGCGAUGGCCCUGGGACCGCUCCGGGUGCUGCCUCCUUGCUCUGCCGUCGCUGCCCUCCUGCAGGAUACGUUUUGCAGUGCAGUUUCCCACGAAGUGGAGAAGGGGGCAUUCAGGGAGCAGGUUCUGUCCCAGGUUUCCCAGAGCAGCCCUGGCUGAGGGCUGCCACCAUCGGCUGCGGGAGAACCUGCUGCGGAGCAGGGAGGGUGGAAAUUGUCCAGCUGUGCCGAGCGUGCCUGUGCCCUGCACAGCAGGGAAUAAGCAACAGCUCGCAAAAAGGCUAAUUUUAUCUACCAAGGGAUUUCCUAGCUGCUUUAUCCACAUCUGGCAGGGAGAGCAAUGGGGCAAGGGAAAUGCAUUGCCUGUCUGUCUAGAUAGCUCAGACAGGCUGGUGACAGCUCAGCAAUGUAAAUGAUGCAUAUUAAGCCCUAAAUAAAGUGUGAGGAACAUGUUUGGGAUCAGUAAAUCCAUCCUGACAAAAAGAAGCAAAGGAAUGAAAUCCCUUUUCCCAAACAGACUGGUAAGCCUGUGGACUAAAUGGAGUCUAUUCCCACUGAAAAACAGCUUCUAAAGAUUUACGAGCGCAGCCUCUCUGUUCUCAUCAGCAGCGAUGCAUGCGAACAUUUCCCAGGCAGUUGGGGCACAGAGUCUGGGGAGGGCUCAGCUUGGCAGCGCGGGUCACAUUCCCCUACGUGAAAUGCUCAAGUUUCAUCUGAAUCCGCUUCGUCCACACGCAUUUGCACAUGAGUUCAUCACGUUUCCAGUUACAUUCCCCCACCGGGCAUUAAUCAUCCACAAGGGAUGGCAGCAGGCAAAUGUCCCUUCUGACUUUCAACAGACUUGUGGGCCUUUCUUCUCUACAUAAGUGGUAGACUUAAGAUAAGCCCAGGGUCUCUUAAACAUGCCUGCCUCUGAAUAAACAUAGUGGGCGUGAUGUGUUACAGGCUGCAUUACUGAGAAUCGUCCAGCUGUAGAGAAGAGGACUGUAGACUGUAUUUAUAUUUUUGUAGAUGCUGGAGAGUCACCUGUCUUCAAAGGAUGCUGGGCAGGCUGGAAGACCUGCGAGCCAGCUCGGUCAGGAAGUGCACUCAGGUUAUGUCGUUUGGAGGCAAUAAUCAGUCGAAUGCCAUCCGAACAGUCACACUGCAGCAAUCGGUGUGCAGAGGAUGCACGUGCUGCUGCCCGAGGCCGGGAAUGCAUAGCUACAGGUCUGCAGCCAUGGAAUAGAGACAGUCGUGUUCUUAAUAUAAAACAUGAUGGAAUCCAGCUUGUUUGAGUUUUUUUACUGUUGCUUUCCCAGCAGGUUUCUGUGACCACUCCCUCUGCUAAACCACCUGUUCUAUCAGAUUCAUAUUUUGCAGAGAAACCUCUUCAAAAAAACCAAGCACCAGGCCAAAGCCUGUGGGCAGCUGCUAUGUGGCAGCUUUGGGGAGACCCAGCAGCGUUCCUCCAAUGUGUGAGUUUACACAUGACUUUGUUUAAAUGGUGGUGCAGUAUUAUAAAAUACAAAUGUGCAUUUUCUUCUUUUCAGGGUAGAGAAGUUCUGAAGAGGUGUAGAGUCUCAGGGAAUUUGUCUAAGCCUCUGCCUACUGCUUUGUGCUUAAUUCAGCCUGUGUACAAGAAUCCUGUAAACUUCGUUGUUGGGAUUAGGAUGGCGUCAGUCCCUGGGCCUGAACUUGAGCUCUGAUGCUCCAGGACGCCUGGGCCUGUUUCAAGACCAGAGUCCCGGUGCUCCGCUCCGAGCCCGGUCAACGUAAAGUGUAACCUGAACGAUGGGGCUGGGCAGGAGCCACUUCUGAUGACAGUGUCUGAAUGAAAUAGUGUCCCAGGAGCCAAAAUGACUCCAUUGGCCCUAGUUUCCAUCUCCUUGCCCAAACGUCUGACUUCACUUCUAGAAAUUUCCAAAAACACUGCAACUGAUUUGGUCUCCUCAUUCCUUCUGUGUCCCGUGGCAACGAUCGUCUCCUCCUCUGCCUGCUCAGAACAGCCCCUAGAAAAGCAAACGCUUUCCGUUUCCCACACGCCGUUGCCGCUGCGGGCUCCCGGGUGCACAGCGAGGAGGUGGCUGCAGACCGCAGCACGGGCACCGAUGCGGCAUUCGCAAGGCGGGAGAUGUGCUUGCCUCCGCUCCAGACGCCGUCCAAGGGGCAGGGCGGUGCUGCACGUGCUGAGGCCAGGCCUGCUUCAGCGUAGCCAAAGAAACACAUAUUUUCUAAGUGAGGAUUAGGAGGGUGCCUGUGCCAGGGCCAAUCCUGCCUUCCAGAAGUCCGGCGUCAAGGGGCCAGUGCCGCGAGGAGGAAGGAGCAGGUGCCAGGGAAGGCUGGCGGACCGGCUGCGGGGGGUCUGGCGGAGCAGGCACGAAGGCACCGGCGGACGGAGCACGCGGUGGUAAGCCAAAGUCGUCCUUCCCAGUGCACACACCUGCGGCUUGGCAGUGCCGUGCCUCUGCACGGGGUGGGAGCUCCUGCCUUGCAAAGGUGGGAUCCGCCGCGCAGCGUCGCAGGCUGUUGGUACAACAGGACCUCAGCUGGUGGGUGUCGAGAGGACUGAAGGAGGCCAGAUGCGGUCUGAACAAACCCGCAGUCUUCGUAAGAUAUCCGAUCUGCUCACUCUAAAGAAAUGUUUUUAAUCUCGCUGGCAUUAAAGAUUAUAAUCAGUCAUUCUACAGGCAGGUGAAUGGAGUUCUUUAUUAUGGCUAUUCAGUUAUAUCUUGAAUAGCAAUAAGGAUUAUCUUCCAGAUUUCUACAUCUCAGUUGUAGCCCCUUACACCUGCUUUUAAUUUUCCUCUCCCUUUCAGGCAAUGCCAGCAAUCUCCUGAAGUUUUUAAACUGAACCUGUGAAAUUUAAUGGUUGGCCAAUGUAUCUGACAUACUCUUCUAAAAUAGUGUUUGAAGUGUGCAUCUUAUAAGGAUUUAUGAUUUUUUUCUCCAGCAAAGUAUCCACUGUAUUUUAUCACUAGUAUUUUCACGUGUUCUGUCAGAAAUGAAGGUCAGACCAAAGAUGCCUCUGUGAAUUUCCAAGGAGGAGCAGUAGGCGGCUUGCUUGGAUUUCUCCAGCCUAAUUUUUCCGGUUUAAAAGGCAAAGGCUUCAUUAUGGCACUGAUUAUUAAAGGCCUAGGGCCAGCCAAGUUCUGUUCCUUGACCUAAGUGCUGAAGUCAGUGUGGCUGUAGACACAUAAAUUAGAGCAGAAUUUGAAUUGUCUACUGUGUAGAUGUUAUCAGAUGGGGAAAAUUGCACAAAAAUAGCAUGAGUAACUACCAGGGCAUUGUGAAAAUACCCCUCAAAUACCAACUCUAAUGGCCAAAUCUUAUUUUUCAUGUGACAAAGAUGGUCAUUGCAAGGGAGAGAAGUUGUUACCUCCUUUUUAGGGGAAAAGAUGCUUUCCUACAUUGGGGUAACAGUCAAAGCUGCCAAUACCUUGAUGUUUUCUAAGAAGUCAAAUUCCUCGCAGCAUCGUGAGGACAUACAGGGGCUCUGCGCCGUGUUCUUCUGCGAUCUGCUCAGAUGUGCUUUUGCGGCUCUUGGUUGCUUUUCUUUUAUGAGCCAGUAGUUUAAAGCUUGAAAUAAACAAUGAUAAUUGCCUAA